UUAUAGCAAAUGAUGUCUGGAACAGAAGAGUGGUAUGUAAAAUGAAAGAAUUAGGUAAAAGAAUAAAUGGAGAACGUGGUUUAGAUAAGUUAGGCUUCGAUAGCCCACGUGAUGCUACCAAUCCUCUUCCAUACAAAGGUUGCGAAUUCUGAUAAGAUGUACGAUCUGCUCUGAUGCUAGCUAGAUACAUAUAUAUAUAAUCUCGUAAUCAUUUUUCUCAGUUACACACUGCUUUUCUUUU
rnacentral:lncRNA from 1 species